GAUGAAGAACGCAGCGAAAUGCGAUAAGUAGUGUGAAUUGCAGAGUUCCGUGAAUCAUCGAAUCUUUGAACGCACAUUGCGCCUUCUGGUAUUCCGGAAGGCAUGCCUGUUCGAGAGUCAUUAACAACCGUUUCGAUCCCUUUCUUUCAGAAAUUACAAAGAGGAAAAGGGUUUGGUUAUGGUGGAGGAGGGAAAGGGAGCGUUUAGCCUGUAAAAAAAGAGGCUGUGUUCCGCCUCCCCCCCAAAAUUGUACAGGCGGUCGUGUGCGCCCACGCAUCGAGGUGUUGUAAAAGCUGCCACGGCACUUUUCACCUGUGCAGUGCGAGAUUGGCCAGCCGGUUUAAAAACCCCUCCAAACAAUCAAAGGUUGACCUCGGAUCAGGUAGGGAUACCCGCUGAACUUAAGCAUAUCAAUAAGCGGAGGA
rnacentral:misc_RNA from 1 species